CCCCACCAACAACGUGCCAGCAGCCGCGGUAAAACGUAGGAGGCGAGCGUUAUCCGGAUUUACUGGGGCGUAAAGCGCGCGCAGGUGGUGGCUGAAGUGGUGCGUGAAAGCUCCCGGCUCAACUGGGAGAGGCCGUACCAAACUCGGUCACUGGAGACAGAUAGAGGCUGACGGAAUUCCGGGUGGAGUGGUGAAAUGCGUAGAGAUCCGGAGGAACACCAGUGGCGAAGGCGGUCAGCUGGGUCUGAUCUGACACUGAGGUGCGAAAGCGUGGGGAGCGAACGGGAUUAGAAACCCCGGUAGUCCACGCCGUAAACGAUGCAGACUAGAUGUUGGAUAUCGAAAGGUAUUCAGUGCCGCAGCCAACGCGAUAAGUCUGCCGCCUGGGGAGUACGGUCGCAAGGCUAAAACUCAAAGGAAUUGACGGGGGCCCGCACAAGCAGCGGAGCGUGUGGUUUAAUUCGAGGCUACGCGAAGAACCUUACCUGGACUUGACAUGCUGGUAGUAGGGAACCGAAAGGGGACCGACUUCGGAGCCAGCACAGGUGCUGCAUGGCUGUCGUCAGCUCGUGCCGUGAGGUGUUCGGUUAAGUCCGAAAACGAGCGCAACCCCUGGCGUUAGUUACAAGUGUCUAACGCGACUGCCCGGGGAAACCGGGAGGAAGGUGGGGAUGACGUCAAGUCAGCAUGGCCUUGAUGUCCAGGGCUACACACACGCUACAAUGGCCGGUACAAUAGGCAGCCAAGCCGCGAGGUGGAGCGAAUCCAGGAAAGCCGGUCGCAGUUCGGAUUGUAGGCUGCAACUCGCCUGCAUGAAGUCGGAGUUGCUAGUAAACGCGGAUCAGCUACGCCGCGUUGAUACGUUCCCGGGCCUUGUACACACCGCCCGUCACGUCAUGGGAGCUGGUCACGCCUGAAGUCGGUGAGCCAACCGUAAGGGAGCAGCCGCC
rnacentral:rRNA from 1 species